ACUCCUGCGGGAGGCAGCAGUGGGGAAUUUUGGACAAUGGGCGAAAGCCUGAUCCAGCAAUGCCGCGUGAGUGAAGAAGGCCUUCGGGUUGUAAAGCUCUUUUGUCAGGGAAGAAACGGUGAAAGCUAAUAUCUUUUGCUAAUGACGGUACCUGAAGAAUAAGCACCGGCUAACUACGUGCCAGCAGCCGCGGUAAUACGUAGGGUGCAAGCGUUAAUCGGAAUUACUGGGCGUAAAGCGUGCGCAGGCGGUUUUGUAAGUCUGAUGUGAAAUCCCCGGGCUCAACCUGGGAAUUGCAUUGGAGACUGCAAGGCUAGAAUCUGGCAGAGGGGGGUAGAAUUCCACGUGUAGCAGUGAAAUGCGUAGAUAUGUGGAGGAACACCGAUGGCGAAGGCAGCCCCCUGGGUCAAGAUUGACGCUCAUGCACGAAAGCGUGGGGAGCAAACAGGAUUAGAUACCCGUGUAGUCCCAUG
rnacentral:rRNA from 1 species